rnacentral:rRNA from 1 species
UGGGGAAUAUUGGACAAUGGAGGAAACUCUGAUCCAGCAAUUCUGUGUGUGUGAAGAAGGCUUUAGGACUGUAAAACACUUUUAGUAGGGAAGAAAAAAAUGACGGUACCUACAGAAGAAGGAACGGCUAAAUACGUGCCAGCAGCCGCGGUAAUACGUAGGUUGCGAGCGUUAUCCGGAAUUAUUGGGCUUAAAGGGCAUCUAGGCGGUAAGACAAGUUGAAGGUGAAAACCUGUGGCUCAACCAUAGGAUUGCCUACGAAACUGUAGAACUAGAGUACUGGAAAGGUGGGUGGAACUACACGAGUAGAGGUGAAAUUCGUAGAUAUGUGUAGGAAUGCCGAUGAUGAAGAUAGCUCGCUGGGCAUUAACUGACGCUGAAGUGCGAAAGCUAGGGGAGCAAACAGG